AGAAUGAACGCUGGCGGCGUGCUUAACACAUGCAAGUCGAGCGAGGCCAGGGGGGCAACUCCCUGAGUCGAGCGGCGGACGGGUGAGUAACACGUGGGUAACCUACCCGGAAGUGGGGAAUACCUCGGGGAAACUCGAGCUAAUACCGCAUAACAUCUUUGGAACGAAAGUUCUGACAAUCAAAGCGGGGUCGCAAGAUCUCGCGCUACCGGAUGGGCCCGCGCCCGAUUAGCUAGUUGGUGAGGUAAUGGCUCACCAAGGCGACGAUC
rnacentral:rRNA from 1 species